rnacentral:rRNA from 2 species
CUAGCCCUAAACCUAGAUAGUCGCCUAACAAAACUAUUCGCCAGAGUACUACUCGCAACAGCCUAAAACUCAAAGGACUUGGCGGUGCUUCACAUCCACCUAGAGGAGCCUGUUCUAUAAUCGAUAAACCCCGAUAAACCUUACCAACUCUUGCCAAUUCAGCCUAUAUACCGCCAUCUUCAGCAAACCCUAAAAAGGAAUAACAGUAAGCACAAUCACCAUACAUAAAAACGUUAGGUCAAGGUGUAGCUUAUGAGUUGGAAAGAAAUGGGCUACAUUUUCUGCACAAGAACAUCUACUCCCAUACGAAAGUUUUUAUGAAACUAAAAACUAAAGGAGGAUUUAGCAGUAAAUCAAGAAUAGAGUGCUUGAUUGAAUAAGGCCAUGAAGCACGC